AAAUAGGUAUUAUACACUUGGGAGUACUAAAUAUUGAAGGAGUAUAAAAUUUGACCGAGAUGCAAAGGGAAAAACACUUUUGUUCUAGUUUGCUAGAGUGUUGAGUUGCUUAGUAUGAGACUACCAUGUCUCUGGUCCCUCUUAAGAGAAGAGAAAAUAAAAUUAAAAAUAUCCAUGUUCAGAGCUCGAGUCAUAACUCUCAUCAGUUUGAGGCCCACGUAUUUGAGAAGUUUCGGGUUUGUGUGUUUGCAGCACUAUCUUAAUUAAAUUAGUAAAUUACAAUAAAGUUAUUAAUUAACUAAAUUUCAGUUUACAAAUACAUCAUUUACAUAUUAUCUUACACAUUUAAGGACAAAAGUUAACAAAUUAGGACAAAUUGAUGUCCACAUAUCAUCUGUCACUAUAAUUUUACCAGAAUACCAUUCACUACAAAUUCUGCUGCUACUAUCGACCAUAGAUGUGCUAUGGGCUACUGUCGACCAGAGAUGUGCUAUGUGCUACUGUCGAUACCGAAGUGCUACUGCUAGUGCUAUUGCAAUUUUUCUGGCAAUUUUGAUGCUACUUUUGGUGCAUUGCUACAUUUUCUGCUACUGACUAUGAUGCUGGGCCACUGCUACUACCGACUAGGACGCUGCCACUAUCCAAGCUGAUGCGAGCAUCAUGCUACUGCCAAAGCUGCUAUUGUCCAAACAAAAGUGCAAAAAAAAAAAACAAAGCUGCUAGCCUGCUACUGUCCAAACAACUUCAACAAAGACCUCCAUCAACCAAAUUCACGAACGACUCCAAGGUGGACACCUGGUGGAUCCGCCACUCACUUGGCACCAGUAGCCGCCAGCCUCGACAGAGCCCUUACUCCCAAAACACUUCACUGUCGCAAAUCUCAAAAACAUAACAAUCUGAACCUAAAAUUGCGAUUGAAUGAUGGAAACCCCAAAUCGAAGAGAAACAAAUCCCUAGAAAUUGCGGAAUUGAUUGAAGGCUGAAGCUUUACCUGAUCAGAUGAAUUCGGGCUUCAGAGAUUGGCCGGACGAUGACGGUGACGAAGAUUAGGGCUGAGAUUUCCUCCACUUCUCUCUCUUGCGUCGUCGUCGGGCAUCGUCAACGUUGAGGUGCCAGGCUUUAGUCGUCACCGUCGAGGAGCCGUUGUUGUCGUCAUCAUUGAGGAGCCGCCAUUGUCGUCGUCAUCGAGGAGCCGCCGUCGUCAUCAUCAUCGAGGAGCUGCCGCCGUCAUCGUAGUCGAAGAGUCACCAUUGUUAACACAGAGGUGUCGAAGUUCCGCUAGGCCUAGUAGAGAGAGAGAGAGAGAGAGAGAGAGAGAGAGGAGAAAUUUUGCAGAGAACCAGAUCGGGGGGGGUAUGAAGAAGAGAAUGGAACGUAAUGUAAUUGUUUUGAAAAAUCUGAGCAUUUUGGUCUUUUACCAUAAAAACUUGGGUCAAGCAUGUUAUAACUUCGUUUUGGGCUUAGACUCUUGUCUUAAUCUGUAGAAGAAAUAUAAAAAGUGAGUUUUUUGUGUUUUUAAAUUUGGUCAUAUGUUACUAUGUAAUUUUCUCUAAUUAAAUUGUCUGUUACAAUUUUUACAAAAUCUAUUCAAAC
rnacentral:lncRNA from 1 species